UACUAGAGUAGCACUCGCAUAUCAAUAAGCGGAGGAAAAGAAACUAACAAGGAUUCCCCUAGUAACGGCGAGUGAAGCGGGAAGAGCUCAAAUUUGAAAUCUUAAAGGGUUUCCCUUUACGAAUUGUAGUUUAAAGAAGUGUUAUCUGUUGAGGUUUUGGUAAAAGUUCUUUGGAAUAGGACAUCAUAGAGGGUGAGAAUCCCGUAUUUGACCUUUACUUUCAACUUUGUGAUACACUUUCAAAGAGUCGGAUUGUUUGGGAAUGCAGUCCAAAAUGGGUGGUAAAUUUCAUCUAGAGCUAAAUAUUGGCGAGAGACCGAUAGCGAACAAGUACCGUGAGGGAAAGAUGAAAAGAACUUUGAAAAGAGAGUUAAACAGUACGUGAAAUUGUCAAAAGGGAAGCGUUUGACACCAGUGUUGUUUUUCUGAAAAUCAAUUAAAGAACUGUUUAUGCUAAGUUGUUUAGACUUUAUCAGCUAUCUGUUUAGUUUUGAGCUUUUCUUUAAUGCACUUUUCAGUUAACAAGUCAACAUCAAUUUCUUUUGCUGUAAAAAAGCUUGAGGAAGGUGGCUUGAGAUUCGUCUUAAGUGUUUAUAGCCUCUUGCCUAUGCAGUCGGAGAGAUUGAGGUCUGCAGCGUAGAUCCUUCGGGGCUAAAUGCAUUUGUGCUAAGUUAUAGCAUUUUAUAGACAACUUGUUGACUAUGAUUUGUCUUGUAGCUUACUCGCUUAUGUUAUUUUACCUACGCUUAGGAUGUUGAGCGCAUGUCUCUCUCU
rnacentral:rRNA from 1 species